GCGUCGAUAGUGUAACGGUUCAGCAUGCGUCACUGGAUAAGGUGAAAUGUGGGUUCAAAUCCCAUUUGAUGCA